GUUCUAGGUGGAGUUAUGAUAAUGACAUUAUCUAUCUAUGUGUCUUGACCAAAUCACGUGCCAGCAGUCGCGGUAAUACGUGGAAGACUAGUGUUAUUCAUCUUUAAUAGGUUUAAAGGGUACUUAGACGGUAUAUCAAGCCCAAAAAGGGCACUAAUAUACUAGAGUUUUAUGUGAGGGGGUAAAAAAGUACCGGUGGAGUAGAGAUGAAAUUCUGUCAUACCACAGGGAAACAGGUAAAGGCGAAGGCGACCCUUUAUGUAUAAACUGACGUUGAAGGACGAAGGCUUGGGCAAUGAACAGGAUUAGAUACCCCAGUAGUCUUAGCAGACAAUGAUGAAUGUCAUAGAAUGGAUUUAAUUUUUCUAUAAAUGAAAGUGUAAGCAUUCCACCUCAAGAGUAAUUUGGCAACAUAGAAACUGAAAUCAUUAGACCGUUUCUGAAACCAGUUGUGAAGUAUGUUGUUUAAUUUGAUGAUCCGCAAAAAACCUUACCACAGUUUGAAUAUUUAUAUUUUUACAAGCGUUGCACGGCUGUCUUUAGUUAAUGUCGUGAGAUUUUGGUUAGUUCCAUUAAAUUAACGUGAACCCUUACUUUAUUUAUUAUAAAGUAGUUCCCCGCUAUAUUGGAUAUGAUAAAAGGGAUUAAGACAAGUCAUCAUGACCUUAAUAUUGUGGCUAU
rnacentral:rRNA from 1 species